GACGAACGCUGGCGGCGUGCCUAAUACAUGCAAGUAGGACGCAGUUGCGCACGGGUGAGUAACGCGUCGGUAACUGCCUAUUAGAGGGGGAUAACUAUUGGAAACGAUAGCUAAUACCGCAUACUAGUAGAUGGACCUGCGUUGUAUUAGCUAGUAGGUAGGGUAAUGGCCUACCUAGGCAAAGAUACAUAGCCGACCAGGGAGGGGGCUCGGCCACACAGGGAAUGGAGCACGGCACAGACACCUACGGGAGGCAGCAGUAGGGAAACUUCGGCAAUGGGGCGAAGCCUGACCGAGCAACGGCGCGUGAGUGAAGAAGGUUUUCGGAUCGUAAAGCUCUGUUGUUAAGGAAGCGGUACUUAACCAGAAAGGGACGGCUAAAUACGUGCGAGCAGCCGUGGUAAUUC
rnacentral:rRNA from 1 species